rnacentral:rRNA from 1 species
GCGGCUUAAUUUGACUCAACGCAGGGUAAUUUACCAGGUAUAACAUGAUAUAAUAUUUUAUCAUGAUAGUGGUGCAUGGCCGUUUCCAAUGGAUGCUGUGAAGUAAUGAUUAAUUUCAACAAGAUGUGAGACCCUCAUUUAGACAGAUGUAGUGAUACAUAUGAAGGAGAGGAUUAAAACAGGUCCGUUAUGCCCUAAGAUAAUCUGGGUUGCACGCGCAAUACAAUAAUAUUUGAUAUUAUAAGGGAUAAUAUAAUGUAAGAUAUAUUUGAACAUGGAAUUGCUAGUAAAUUUUAUUUAAUAAGUAGAAUUGAAUGAGUCCCUGUUCUUUGUACACACCGCCCGUCGCUAUCUAAGAUGGUAUUAUCUAUGAACAAAUUUAUAAAGUGAAUAGAUAGUACUAGAUCUGAUAUAAGUCGUAACAUGGUUGCUGUUGGAGAACCAUUAGCAGGAUCAUAA